rnacentral:rRNA from 1 species
AGCGCGGGAAGCGAGUGGAUCCCUUCGGGGUGAAGCUCGUGGAACGAGCGGCGGACGGGUGAGUAACACGUGGGCAACCUGCCUGUAAGACCGGAAUAACCCCGGGAAACCGGGGCUAAUGCCGGGUAAUACUUUUCUUCGCAUGAAGGAAAGUUGAAAGAUGGCUUCUUGCUAUCACUUACAGAUGGGCCCGCGGCGCAUUAGCUAGUUGGUGAGGUAACGGCUCACCAAGGCGACGAUGCGUAGCCGACCUGAGAGGGUGAUCGGCCACACUGGGACUGAGACACGGCCCAGACUCCUACGGGAGGCAGCAGUAGGGAAUCUUCCGCAAUGGACGAAAGUCUGACGGAGCAACGCCGCGUGAACGAUGAAGGUCUUCGGAUCGUAAAGUUCUGUUGUUAGGGAAGAACAAGUACCGUGCGAAUAGAGCGGUACCUUGACGGUACCUAACGAGGAAGCCCCGGCUAACUACGUGCCAGCAGCCGCGGUAAUACGUAGGGGGCAAGCGUUGUCCGGAAUUAUUGGGCGUAAAGCGCGCGCAGGCGGUUCCUUAAGUCUGAUGUGAAAGCCC